GCGAUAAAUUCAGGCGGCUGACUCGCAAGCGGAAAGUUGUAUGCAUGUGAAACACAUUGAUGUGAAAUCUACGGGAACACUGCAGGAUCUGCGUUGGGAUCUUCAGACUAGGUUUUAUGAAUGAGAGACUGCUGUUUCUAAUUAACUGUACUCUAUCACGUAUAAGUAUAACCAAAAGGCUGUAAACUCAAACGCUGAGGCUUUGCAAUCAAAUCAAAUAUAUACACCCUCCUAGCAUAACUCAUGUCCACGAAGAAAGAUGGAUGUGUCCUCAGAAUUAAGAUGGAGGUCCUGCAGUGGGGGAGAUACAUGCUUGGGCCUUUUGCUGCCUCUCCCAGGUCAAAAGUCAGGCCUGGAUUCCACGCAAAUUGCCACUUCUCUAGUUGCACUGUUUGUUGAACUGGACACGAAAGAGACUUGGAGGCUUUCAAAAUAGCCAAGAGGAGAGUAGUUUCUCACUUCAAAAGCGUACUUCAGCAGCAAUGCUCAUAUUUCUGCAGUGCUGGGUCUCAAUGCCCUCGUAGAAGGCAGACUUAUUUUGGAUGUUGCUGUGUUUCUGGUAGUUAUGCACAAGAGGCCAAAAUAAACAAGAUUCUGGCCCAGCAAUGGGAACUUCUGAACGGGUUGCAUAUGUCUGCUGCUCUCCACAAACAUAUGAGGCAUUUCUCUGACCAGACUGCUGUGUGAGGGAUGCAGGAAUGGAAGAGCUGGGAUUUGGGUUGAGGUGGGGAGCCAGCAUAUGGGUGGGUGAAGGUUCCUGUAAGGCUGAACCAUUACGCUGAAAAUCGAAUGGAGACAGUGAGUCAGCGGACGUUUGGGGGCAGAGCCAGAAGCAGAAGCAGUAGCCAUGGCCUCCAGCUCCCGCCAGUCUCUGUGGGCUUCUGCUGGCUACGCUAGAGGGGUGUCACCCAUCCAUGGACUCCACGCUGCCAUCUCCACUCGGCCUCCCAUGCCUCUUUUCAUGCCCAGAGUCCAAACAACGACACUCUUGUGUCUAAGCUUUGGACUGGGGGCGCCACUGUUGAUGGGGAAAAAGAAGAAAACUUGCAAGUCGUCACAGAGUGUAAGUGUCCACAUUUCACACAUUGCUGAUGUUUAAACUGCAGUGUGACCUGCCAGGUUUAUCCCAAUUGGUAAAAGGGGGCAUCCCAGUAGCGGCACGUAGAUUCCAUGGAAAUGUUAAAAACGUUAAGGUGUGGUACCAGUCUAUGUAGUUUAUCACCUGUGGGUCAAACAUCUUUGCUGAAAUUCCUUCGCAUGUUAUCCUUGCACAAGAAAAAAAAGUUACUCAUGAGUGUGAGUCCUUCUGCACCGUGGCUCCUGAUUGGCUCGUGCUUCCCGGGCGGCAUGAGUCAUGCCCAGAUUUGCCUGUUAGGUCCAGAGGAGCAGAAGAUGAGCAAAGUUAAGCAAAGACCACAAGGAAAUCUGCACAGUUUUGCCAUAUACACUAUAUUGUCAAAAGUAUUGGGACACCCCUCCAAAUCAUUGUGUUCCAUUCCCUUCCAUAGCCAUAGGUGUAUAAAAUCAAGCACCUAGGCAUGCAGACUGCUUCUACAAACAUUUGUGAAAGAAUGGGUCAGUCUCAAGAGCUCAGUGCAUUCAAGUGUGGUCCAGUGAUAGGAUGCCACCUAUGCAAUCAGUCCAUUCAUGAAAUUUCUUCGCUACUAAAUAUUCUACGGUCAAAUGUUAGUGAUAUUAUAACAAAGUGGAAGCAAUUGGGAACGACAGCAACUCAGCCACAAAGUGGUAGGUCAUGUAAAAUCACGGAGCGGGGACAAUGCAUGCUGAGGCACACAGUGUGCAGAAGUCACCAACUGUCUGCAGAGUCAAUAGCUACAGACCUCCAAACUUCAUGUGGCCUUCAGAUUAGCUCAAGAACAGUGCGUAGGUAACUUCAUGGAAAGGGUUUCCAUGGCCAAGCAGCUGCAUCCAAGCCUUAUAUCACCAAGUGCAACAUAAAGUGUUGGAUGCAGUGGUGUAAAGCAUGCUGCCACUGGACUCAAGAGCAGUGGAGAUCACGAAUCACACUUUUCUGUCUGGCAAUCUGAUGGAUGAGUCUGGGUUAGGUGGUUGGCAGGAGAAGAGUACUUGCCUCACUACUUUGUGUGAAGUAUAAAGUUGGAGGGGAACAGUUUGGGGAUGGUCCCUUCUUGUUCCAACAUGACUGUGCAGCAGUGCACAAAGCAAGGUCCAUAACGACAUGGAUGAGCGAGUCUGGUGUGGAAGAACUUCACUGGCCAGCACAGAGCCAUGACUUCAACUCGAUAGAACACCUUUAAGAUGAAUAAGAGCGGAGACUGCGAGCCAGUCCUUCUCAUCCAACAUCAGUGCCUGACCUCACAAAUGCUCUCCUAGAAGAAUGGUCAAAUAUUCCCAUAACACACUCCUAAACCACAGUAAUUGUAGCUGUUAUAGCUGCAAAGGGUGGGCCAACUCCAUAUUAAAGCCUAUGUAUUAAUAAUUGGAUGUCAUUAAAGUAUAUGAGUGUGUAAAGGCAGGUGUCCUAAUACCUUUGGCAAUAUACUGUACAUGAUACAAAACAAAUGAAAAAUAUUACAAUUACACUGAUUCCUAUUUAAUUUUAUACUGUGCCAGGAUGAGAGAAGAAUUAGAUGAUUUUUAAGGGACAGUUGUUGUGGACACAUAUGUG